GUGGGGAAUCUUGCGCAAUGGGCGAAAGCCUGACGCAGCCAUGCCGCGUGAAUGAUGAAGGUCUUAGGAUUGUAAAAUUCUUUCACCGGGGACGAUAAUGACGGUACCCGGAGAAGAAGCCCCGGCUAACUUCGUGCCAGCAGCCGCGGUAAGACGAGGGAUCCUAGCGUUGUUCGGAAUUAUUGGGCGUAAAGCGCGCGCAGGCGGCCUCUUAAGUCUGAUGUGAAAGCCCAGGGCUCAACCUUGGAAUUGCCUUUGAUACUGGCUGUCUUGAGUACGGGAGAGGUGAGUGGAGCUCCGAGUGUAGAGGUGAAAUUCGUAGAUAUUCGGAAGAACACCAGUGGCGAAGGCGACUCACUGGCCCGUUACUGACGCUGAGGCGCGAAAGCGUGGGGAGCAAACAGGAUUAGAUACCCGUGUAGUCC
rnacentral:rRNA from 1 species